rnacentral:rRNA from 1 species
AUACGGAGGAUGCAAGCGUUAUCCGGAUUUAUUGGGUUUAAAGGGUGCGUAGGCGGUUUGCUAAGCGGGAGGUGAAAUGCCGGCGCUCAACGUCGGAAGUGCCUCCCGAACUGGUGGACUGGAAUGACUCUGCCGUGGGAGGAAUGUGUAGUGUAGCGGUGAAAUGCUUAGAGAUUACACAGAACACCGAUUGCGAAGGCAUCUCACGAAGGGUUGAUUGACGCUGAGGCACGAAAGCGUGGGGAUCAAACAGGAUUAGAUACCCUGGUAGUCCACGCAGUAAACGAUGAUGGCUAACCGCUGGUUUAUUCGGAUCAGUGGCCAAGCGAAAGCGAUAAGCCAUCCACCUGGGGAGUACGACCGCAAGGUUGAA